UGGGGAAUAUUGCGCAAUGGGGGAAACCCUGACGCAGCAACGCCGCGUGGAGGAUGAAGGCUCUCGGGUCGUAAACUCCUGUCGGGAAGGACGAACGGCGUGAAGGCGAAUAUCCUUCACGUUUGACGGUACUUCCAAAGGAAGCUCCGGCUAACUCCGUGCCAGCAGCCGCGGUAAGACGGAGGGAGCGAGCGUUGCUCGGAAUUACUGGGCGUAAAGGGCGUGUAGGCGGAACGGCCAGUCGGAUGUGAAAGCCCUGGGCUCAACCCAGGAAGUGCAUUCGAUACUACUGUUCUAGAGUGUGGUAGAGGAGAGCGGAAUUCCCAGUGUAGCGGUGAAAUGCGUAGAUAUUGGGAAGAACAUCUGUGGCGAAGGCGGCUCUCUGGGCCACUACUGACGCUGAGGCGCGAAAGCUAGGGGAGCGAACGGG
rnacentral:rRNA from 1 species